CAAUUACUCCCUCCGUCCCAUAUUAAGUGACUCAAAUUUGCCCAAAUAUGGAUGUAUCUAUGCCUAAAAAGUGUCUAGAUACAUGUAAUAGAAAGUCACUUAACAUGGGACGGAGGGAGUAUUUA
rnacentral:pre_miRNA from 1 species